GAUGAACGCUGGCGGCGUGCCUAAUACAUGCAAGUCGAGCGAACGGACGAGAAGCUUGCUUCUCUGAUGUUAGCGGCGGACGGGUGAGUAACACGUGGAUAACCUACCUAUAAGACUGGGAUAACUUCGGGAAACCGGAGCUAAUACCGGAUAAUAUUUUGAACCGCAUGGUUCAAAAGUGAAAGACGGUCUUGCUGUCACUUAUAGAUGGAUCCGCGCUGCAUUAGCUAGUUGGUAAGGUAACGGCUUACCAAGGCAACGAUGCAUAGCCGACCUGAGAGGGGGAUAGGCCACACUGGAACGGAGGCACGGUCCAGGCUCCUACGGGAGGCAGCAGUAGGGAAUCUUCCGCAAUGGGCGAAAGCCUGACGGAGCAACGCCGCGUGAGUUAUGAAAGUCUUCGGAUCGUAAAACUCUGUUAUUAGGGAAGAACAUAUGUGUAAGUAACUGUGCACAUCUUGACGGUACCUAAUCAGAAAGCCACGGCUAACUACGUG
rnacentral:rRNA from 1 species